AUGGCCUCUGCUGAAGGAGGAGACAAAUACCGGUCGUUCCUGCACGGCGACGGCGAGAAGAACACCGUGUGGAGGCAUGGAGCCCCUCCCAACUACGACCUCGUGAACAAGCUCUUCGAGGAAGAGCGGACCAAGGAAUGGGCCGAGGGAUCUCUGGAAGAGAAGGUGCAGCGGCUGCUCAAGACCUGGGAGAUGGAGUUGGUCCACAAGGUGCGGCCCGAGGACCAGAAGAGCGUCCACCCCAAGAACUACUCCGCCACCACCAACGGGCUGAAGCCUCUGACGCGGGAGGAGGUGAUGGCCAUGGGCGGCUACAACGCGUUCCUGGCGACCACGCUGCCGCCGGAGCACCGCAUCUACGACCCGGACGCGGAGUCGGUCGAGUCGGCCACGUCCACGUUCCUCACGGCGUUUCCCCGGGGCUUCGCCAUCGAGGUGCUGGACGUGUACAGCGGCCCGCCCAAUCCCAGGAUCGCCUUCAAGUUCCGGCACUGGGGCUACAUGGAGGGCCCCUUCAAGGGCCACCCUCCGCACGGCCGCCGCGUCGAGUUCUUCGGCGUCUGUGUCUUCCACGUUGAUGAGGGCACCAAGGUGGAGAAGGCGGAGUUCUUCUACGAGCGCGGCAACUUCCUCGCAAGCUUCUUGAGUGCGCCAGCUUCUGCUGCUGCAUCGGCUUCAGGUUGCCCUGUGAUGAGAGGAGACUGA
rnacentral:rRNA from 1 species